rnacentral:rRNA from 1 species
GUAGGGAAUUUUCGUCAAUGGGGGAAACCCUGAACGAGCAAUGCCGCGUGAGUGAAGAAGGUCUUCGGAUCGUAAAGCUCUGUUGUAAGUGAAGAACGGCUCAUAGAGGAAAUGCUAUGGGAGUGACGGUAGCUUACCAGAAAGCCACGGCUAACUACGUGCCAGCAGCCGCGGUAAUACGUAGGUGGCAAGCGUUAUCCGGAAUCAUUGGGCGUAAAGGGUGCGUAGGUGGCGUACUAAGUCUGUAGUAAAAGGCAAUGGCUCAACCAUUGUAAGCUAUGGAAACUGGUAUGCUGGAGUGCAGAAGAGGGCGAUGGAAUUCCAUGUGUAGCGGUAAAAUGCGUAGAUAUAUGGAAGAACACCAGUGGCGAAGGCGGUCGCCUGGUCUGUAACUGACACUGAGGCACGAAAGCGUGGGGAGCAAAUAGGAUUAGAAACCCUAGUAGUCC